CUUCUGGACUCACACAAUCUGCCCACCUCAGCCUCCCAAAGGAUCAUAGGCAUGAGCCACUGUGCCCAGCCCAGCAAUCACGAUUUGAACAUUAACUUCCUUUUGUCCCACUGAAACAGGUUUUGAAUCAUGACUUUAUACUUUCAGAGAACUGAAAACAAAUUCUAAGAAAUUAUGUCCAGCUGCUCUCAAUAGUAACCUGAAGUAGGUUAACCAAGGGAUCCAGAAGGAAUCUGGAUUCUGAUAAACUGAUUUUCACACAGUGCCUAGCAAAACGCCUGGCCCACGGCAGGAGACCAGUCAGUUGCAUGAACGAGCAGAUCAACAGGGAAACCGGCACUGGCAGAAGGGAAGGAACCAACCACCUCCAAACAGCGCUGCCAUGCCCUGCUGCCCCUGCCAGUCUCCCGCACAGCCACAUCACCCUGCUUCUCUGAGCAGGAUGGCUCUGCUUCAUGCCCAAGAAAACUGAGUAGGAUGAGGAAGGCAGGCACUGAAGAGGAAGCAAGCAGCUCUCUGACGAGAAAAUGACAGUUCGAUGAAGGAAGACUUGGAGAAAGGCAGGAGACAGAAUCUUGCAGGUGGGGGAGGAGCGGAGGCUGGGAGAGGACCACACGGGGGAGGUCCCCGGAAAGGUGGGAGGGAGAGACCCGGGAGAGGAGGUGCAGGAGGGUGAGGCUGACCAGAGCACGGGACAGGAAGACCCUUGCAAGAGGAGAGAGGCAUGAGGAGGCAAAAGGCCUGGCCUGGGAGGACGGCGGAGUGGACCACUGGACAAGGGGCGGCCUCACCUUGCUGGGGAGGAUGCUGAUAGUGCUCCCGCUGCUGCUGCACCGCACAGAACUGAUGCCCCCCACCCCGGGGACCAGCUCCGCCAGGCUCCUGCAGCUGCAGUGUGCUUUCGCCUCCCUGUGGGAAGGAAGAAGGACCUCAGUGUCCAGCAGAGGCCCAGUUUCCGAUUCUCCGCCUGCUCUGAAACCUCUGUUCACCAGAUGAGGGCUGCGCGGCUCCUCAGCCGCUUCUUACCCUUGGUGGCACGUGUGCACCAUGAGGUGGGCCAAAUGCAGAACACAAGGACCCAUCCCAGAGUCCAUGUGGCACUUAGCGG